UCUACAAUGUUCAAUCCCAACCUUUCUGAGUCCUAGUACGCAAGGAGUGGUCUCAGCGAUGCUCGACUAGAUUGGCCCCAUCGACGUAAUUAACCUCUGGCUGCUGCAAAGAGGGAUAACAAAAGGUAUAGGAAUUAACCAGGUGUC
rnacentral:rRNA from 1 species